AGCAGUAGCCGCGGUAAUACGUAGGUCCCGAGCGUUGUCCGGAUUUAUUGGGCGUAAAGCGAGCGCAGGCGGUUAGAUAAGUCUGAAGUUAAAGGCUGUGGCUUAACCAUAGUACGCUUUGGAAACUGUUUAACUUGAGUGCAAGAGGGGAGAGUGGAAUUCCAUGUGUAGCGGUGAAAUGCGUAGAUAUAUGGGGGAACACCGGUGGCGAAAGCGGCUCUCUGGCUUGUAACUGACGCUGAGGCUCGAAAGCGUGGGGCGCAAACAGGAUUAGAUACCCCCGUAGUCCCUGUCUCUUAUACA
rnacentral:rRNA from 1 species